UACAGAGGUGGCAAGCGUUGUUCGGAUUUAUUGGGCGUAAAGGGUCCGUAGGCGGUUCGGAAAGUCAGAUGUGAAAGCCCACAGCUCAACUGUGGAACUGCAUUUGAAACUUCCGAACUAGAGUGUGAGAGGGGUAAAGGGAAUUCCCGGUGUAAGGGUGAAAUCUGCAGAGAUCGGGAGGAACACCAGUCGCGAAGGCGCUUUACUGGCUCACAACUGACGCUCAGGGACGAAAGCUAGGGUAGCAAACGGG
rnacentral:rRNA from 1 species